UACGAAGGGUGCAAACGUUGCUCGGAAUCAUUGGGCGUAAAGCGCACGUGGGCGGCUUCGCAAGUCGGAUGUGAAAUCCCAUGGCUCAACCAUGGACGUGCAUUCGAAACUGCGAAGCUUGAGUAUGGAAGAGGCUCGCGGAAUUCCCAGUGUAGAGGUGAAAUUCGUAGAUAUUGGGAAGAACACCGGUGGCGAAGGCGGCGAGCUGGUCCAUUACUGACGCUGAGGCGCGACAGCGUGGGGAGCAAACAGG
rnacentral:rRNA from 1 species